rnacentral:lncRNA from 1 species
UUUGUAGAAGGAGCUUUUACAGAAAGAAAUGUUAACAAGACAGCACCAGUAAAAUAAUUCAUAGCUCUCUGAAAACCUGUUCAAAACAAUCUUAUCUGGGACCUAUACCCCACAGAGAGAGUCUGGAAGCUGCACUUGAACCAAAUCUAUAUCUGCCUUGCCUUGAAGGUGGUGCUUCUAUUUGUGGUGUGUGGACAUUGGCAUACUUUAUCAAUGCGGUUCUGUGUUGGAGGCGGAAAGCCUGGACCAUGGUGAAAUUCUGCCACUGCCAUUCUUUGUGGCCCUGAUGCUUUCACUCUCCAUAUCUGUUCAUUGCCUUGCCUUAUCAGUGUAGGGAUGACUCUUGCAAAGCACUAGACAGUGCUGUAAGCAAGAACUUCUUGUUUGGUUAGCUCGUAUGUUUCUGUGAUACAGGUAACAAAAAUGUGCCUGUCUUUUGGGAUGACUCUAUACUGAAUGCUUUUUACUCAGGCAAGAACUCACAUUUCAUCAAGAACACUUAUGGUCUUAAAUCUUUCAUGUUAAUUGGCUUUCCCCUGAGUCCAUGUUGACAACUAAUAGCUCCGUGAAAUUACACUGGACAGUAUACUUAAAACUAAUAGCAAAAAUAAAGGAAAUCUGCCUGGAGAGGAUAGCUUAAUAGAAACAGGGUUUGGAAAAGAAUAAAAAGUCAAUGACAAAGCAUCAUCGCACUUGUUCUGUGGGGCUGGAGCAGCUGCUGUAUCACAUGAGCCAACAGCCGCUGAGACCUUCAACUUGGAGGAAUUCUGUUGUAAUUACCCUGACUCAUUACAAACUUCACCUGGCUUUCAUUUACUAAUGUAACUUACUGAAUAUUUUUUCCAUUAAUUUGAGUUGUGUCUGUAGGCACAGCAGGGAUUCAUCUGGGGACAUCUGACUUUUUUUUUUUUUCCUUUCCUACACUUCCCUCCUUUAUAAUGCUAAAGGCGAUGUUACCAGGACUUUGCUAUGGAGCUGCUGCCACAGUACUGUGUGCUGAUAUCUAGAUCAUUAGACAUCAGGAGAAAAGCCAGUGUGUUCACGGAAACAGUGCUUCCUCAGACAAGUGGAAGAUCUUCCUGGAACUUACUAGAUUCCCAGCUGAAUCCCCUGAAGCAUCGGUCUUGUAAUGUGACAUGA